UAAUCACGCCUAUUUCCCGGAGGAGUAGUCAGAGACCACUGAUUUCCACUUGGUACGAUCCUGACAUACCUCUUUCGCUUCCUUCACUUUCAUUACAUUCCUCAUACACGCUCGCCGGCUUAGGGUGCUCUUGACCUGGCCUUUCUUCAGGAUUUCCCCGAUCUGAUCAGAGAAAAUCCGCCGAGGUCUACCCCUUCCAACUCCCACUUCCACUUCUCCCUUAUACACUCUCUUUCGCUCUCAUUUCCACUGCAUUCACUUGGCUCUGAUGCCUCUUCUGCCAUACCCAACUUUCGCUACCAUACAUAAGUGUAGGCACCAACACCCCUCUAUGAACAGCCAACCGUGCUUUUUGCGACACCUUCUGGCUGCUCAUAAAAGCGUUAAGUGCCCCAUUCACACGAUUUCCAG